CCUACGGGGGGCUGCAGUGGGGAAUAUUGGACAAUGGGGGGAACCCUGAUCCAGCCAUGCCGCGUGUGUGAAGAAGGCCCUCGGGUUGUAAAGCACUUUCAGUGAGGAAGAACGCCUGGUGGUUAAUACCCAUCAGGAAAGACAUCACUCACAGAAGAAGCACCGGCUAACUCCGUGCCAGCAGCCGCGGUAAUACGGAGGGUGCGAGCGUUAAUCGGAAUUACUGGGCGUAAAGCGCGCGUAGGUGGCUUGAUAAGCCGGUUGUGAAAGCCCCGGGCUCAACCUGGGAACGGCAUCCGGAACUGUCAAGCUAGAGUGCAGGAGAGGAAGGUAGAAUUCCCGGUGUAGCGGUGAAUGCGUAGAGAUCGGGAGGAAUACCAGUGGCGAAGGCGGCCUUCUGGACUGACACUGACACUGAGGUGCGAAAGCGUGGGUAGCAAACAGGAUUAGAUACCCUGGUAGUC
rnacentral:rRNA from 1 species